ACAGCAACGUGAAUACUUGAUUGGUGAUCAUUAUAAACAGACGUUCAGUUUAACUCGUAUAUAUUAUUAAUGAACGCCUUAGUAUCCACCUGGGUGAGCUAAUCAUCAAAAAGAAGGAAGGAAGAGGUUAGCAAACAUGCUAACCAAUACAUGUGACCAUGCGCUCAGCUUUUCGCGAGUUCGCUUCCUAACCAUCUUAUUCAGGAUAGCUCGAGCCAACAUCCAGUGGAGAAUGGCCAAUGUACACCUAACAAUUUCACCAUUCAGGGUCGCUUUGGCAGGACACGUCCUUUCAGUGCAGACGAAUAACGGAAACUCCAUCAACAGUAAAUAUUAAUAAAUGCAGGCGGGGCGACAGCGAAGCACAGGACCACAAUCAAAAGAAGAGGAUGGGAGGUUAUACAUUAAGGUGGACCCCAAAUGUAGGGUUAGGUGUUCAAGGGCACUUCACUUUCCAAUCCCAAGAACAUGCUCCCAUGCGCUAUGCUGCACACACCUAUCUAAUGGACCCCAUCAAGAACAUCCCAAAUACUAAAUCAUCAGAGCACAAGUAAUGUCUGGUUUGGAACCUUCAUGUACAACAUGGAUUUCCUCUAAGCUUCGUGGAGCAAGGUGGAACCUGUUCAUCUAUCGACAGCCAAGUAAGACAAGUUCUUGGACAUAUUGUAAUAGCUGCCAUGCACAGUGAGUGGACUGAAUUAAAUGUAAGAAAGCUGUGGCCCAAGUGGCACGGAGUGUGUUUUGGUGAUGUAAUAUCUGCUGUACAUAGGCAAGAAAACCAACAAGCUAAGGAAAACCCCUCCAAUAUAGUUUUAUGAUAUACUGUCACUACCUACACGGGGUUAUGAACAUCCCAUUCAACGUUUUCAACAUCUUACACAUUAUAUUAAUGUAAAAUCUGAUCAUGAAGGUUACUGAAUUAAAUAUUCCAGUAAUGAUUACUUAUUAAAAAGAUUGCUGAUCGAUAUAUAUUAGUGAGUUAACGUAUUAUGUAUCAAGGUCAUUUUUGAUGUCGAAAAUAGUAGCAUGAGAUAGUCUU